AAAAGUUUGCUGGAAAAGUUCGCCGGCGGUGAGUGGUUUCUGACGACGAUCCAACUGACCGGAAAGUAUUGGGAGAUGGGGAAGGUGACCGGAAUGAAACACGGUCACCGGAAGGUUUCCCGGAGUUGAUGACACGGGAAACAGGAAAGAAUUAGGUUUUCUUCCUUGGCUCUGAUACCAUGUUGAGAGAGAGAGAAAGAAGAAAAACCUUAAUUCUCAUUCAUGUAAUGUCUACUUACAAU
rnacentral:lncRNA from 1 species